UACGUAGGUGGCGAGCGUUGUCCGGAUUUAUUGGGUUUAAAGGGUGCGUAGGCGGCUUAUUAAGUCAGUGGUGAAAUACUCUAGCUCAACUAGAGGGGUGCCAUUGAUACUGAUGAGCUUGAGUACAGAUGAGGUAGGCGGAAUUGACGGUGUAGCGGUGAAAUGCUUAGAUAUCGUCAAGAACACCUAUAGCGAAGGCAGCUUACUAGGCUGUAACUGACGCUGAGGCACGAAAGUGUGGGGAUCAAACAGG
rnacentral:rRNA from 1 species